GGAACGGUUAGUCUGAAGCGCUUUGCUGUGAUAUAUUCUUCGUGGAAACGGAAUUUGCUAAACUUGAGCUCUUUGUUACAACCUCAGAUAUUCCUUAUCUCCCAGGUGCCAGCUGAACAAUCUCUGCUGAAUAUCUUGAGAUUUGAGCAAGCAAAUCAUGUGGAACUAACAGGUUGUCUCUGCUCAGAUUCUUAAGUUAUAAGCAACAGAAAUAAAAUGAAGGUAGAUGAGGGGAAAAUGCGAGAUUCUUGAGUUACAGGCAGCAGAAGUAACAUUUGGAUGGAUUAAGAGGAAGCGGGCCAUGCGCUAUGGGUUCUGCAGUGUCUCCUGCGGCCAAGAGCAGAGCCAGGCGGUGGAGGACUAGGAGGCUGCAGGACUGUCUCCACUGCUGCUCCCCGUCCCCUCGAGGGCCCAGCCUUUCUUCUCUUUGCAGACUUCAAUCCUUCGCCUGCCUGGCCCACCUGAUGGGAUGUCGGCUCCCCUCAUGGCUUAAUAAGUCAACGAAAUCAAAGCUCCACAAAUCAUGGAUCUCAGGAGAAGUAGGUGAAAACUCACAGUUGAGGCUCACCGUUGGAUCAAGUGCAACAGCUGUCUAAAGCAACCAGCAUAGUACCUGGUGCAAAGUAACUGUUCAAGAAGUGUGUGGAAUUGCGUGAAGCCUCAGUCACAGGGAGAGCAGCCCUAGUGACACAUGGUGGAAGGAAUCCUGUGGGAAAAACACACAUUCCUGAAGCUGUGGGAUCCUUAUGGUUUGCCAAAUGCCAGAGUAACACCUGCUCCACCCCUGCGCCCAGGAAUCCAGGAGUGCUGCCUCACCUGUGCACAUAGCACCACCAGGCCACAAGGGCAGCAACAUGGUUUUAAAGUCCUCCAGCCUGCCUGCCUUAAAAUUAUGUGAUUCAUGAUGUUUUGGCUUUAAGGAAUUGGAUUGUUUCCAGUCUUUUGCAUCUAGUUAAAAUGCAUCGAUUUAAAAGAAUUCUGCUAUUUCGAAUUUGCAUAAUUUAAAUUCACAAAUGUGGUGUUACAUUGGAUUGUAAAUGAAAUACCAAGGUGAUCUGAGACCCCCUGAAACCAGUGCUGACCUGGUCACCAGCGGGCCCGUUGACCCUGCAUCUGCGUUGGCCUUCGGGCUUCCAUAACCGGCACGGCCACUUGCCCCCGGGAUGCAGAUGUCCACUGGCAGAGGAGCAGUGAUAGUUCUGACGCAAAAAUGCUGGAUUUGUGCCGUCGCAGAGAAGCAGGCCACCUCGUGUGUCUCAGCUUUCCCUUGGCUCCUCCCCGAAGCAGUUCAGCUGAUUGGCAUGGACUGGAGUUGGCUAAUAACAUGAUCUAUCCCUCCACUCAACCACAGCCUCUGGAGGAAGUCUGCAGGAAGGCUCUGGGAUGAGGAUCAGAGCUCUCCAGGGUUUGUGGCCAAUACCAAAUGGGAGGCAGACUCGCCUUGGGACAGUCUCCAUCCACAGCACUGCUCUCUGGUGUCUGAACCCAAGACAAACCAAAACACAAUCAUAUUUUCCCCUUGGAUUGAACAGAGAGAUUCUUGAAAACUGAAACUCCAUGAAUUUAAGGAGGCAGGAUUUUACACCAAGUUGUUCCUAGGGUAGGUUUUGGGAGGGGGGAGUUAAGGAUUGUUUGGGCUGAGACAGUGUGUUUUGAGUCAAAGGGGAGUUGGUUGUACUGUCUGAAGCCCUGUAGCAUGAUAGAAGUAACCUGGUGACAGCUCUGGUGGCAAAGUUGCCCAGUGAGCCUUCAGGAGACUGAGGACAAGACCUGGGUGGUACUUCAGAACCCAAUCCUGGUUUUGUGCGUUCAUGAGCAUUGAACCUCUCUGAGUUCCAUUCUCAGCACCUGUAGAAUGGCAAUAACAAUAGCGAUCUACUUCGUGGCAGCCUCCCUAUGUGAGAAAUGAUUGAUAAGAAUAACUCAGCUGGGUUGUACAUGUAAAAGGAUCGAAUAUAGAAUGCUCUAAAAUCUCACCAAGAUGCCAGAAGAUGCAUAUCCCUCCACACAGCUCUUAAAGAUCAAUAAGAAAAAAACAAAUAGCCCAAUAGAAAAAUGGGCAAUGAAUAGGAACAGGCAACUAACAGAGAACUACAAAUGGCCUUUCAGUUGAGGUAGAUGUGCAACGUGACAAUGGUCAUCAACAACACUGUUGUGUGUUUGCAGCUCACUAAGAGAGAAAAUCUUCAAGGUUCUCCUCACAAAGAGAAAACCGACCAUAACUGUGUGAGGUGGUGAAUGUUAACUGAUUUUAUUGCGGUGACUGCUUUGUAAUACAUACGUAUAUCAAAUCAUUGUGUUGUACACCUUCAACUUAGACCAUAUUAUGUGUCAAUUGUAUCUCAAUAAAACAGAAGAAGUAAAUAAGUAAACUUAGGGAAAUGUAAAACUUGCUAGCAACUAAAGAAAUGCAGACUGGGGACACCUGGGUGGCUCAGUCGUCCAGUGCCUGCCUUCGGCUCAGGUCAUGAUCCCAGAAUCUGGGAUCGAGUCCCACAUCGGGCUUUCUGCAGGGAGCCUACUUCUCCCUCUGCCUGUGUCUCUGCCUCUCUCUCUCUGUGUCUCUCAUGAAUAAAUAAAUAAAAUCUUUAAAAAAAAAAGAAAUGCAGAUUGCAGGGUUGAAACAUUUGCUCUGCCAGGUUGGAACCAUCAGAAACUGAUACCAUCUGGUGUGGUGCGGGCAUGGGCACACAGGCGUUCCUCACACCAAAUUGCGUCGAUUGGGACCAGCUUUGCCAAGAUCAAUUUCAGAUUGCAUGUUAAAGUCUUGAGUUUCUCAUCCUUUGAUGUGAGAGUUUCACUUACAGGAAUCCAUGUUAAGGAACGGUAGCACGAAUUCAUAAGGGCAUAUAUCCAGAUAGAUAGAUAGAUAGAUAGAUGAUAGAUAUAGAUAUUUAAAAUAAGAUUUUGCCACAAAGAUGUCAAGAGGGAAAAAAAAUCCCUCAUAUUACCUCUCCAAAUUCCAGGAAAUACCAACCCCCAAAUAUGGAUUGUACGUGAACUCAGGACUGGGAAAUGUGUUUAAAUUUCUUCCCUGUUACAAGGUAAACUUUAUUUAGCAAGGCAAAAUGUGAAUUAUAGCUUAACUUGACGUCACUUUGAAAAUCCCACAAGUUGUGGUAGAGUUUUUAAUCUUUGCAGUAAAUUUUUUGGGAUGAAAUAGAGAAAGUUCUGCCAAGAGUACAAACUUGUGUCUGGGUACAAAUUAGCCCCUGCUCAUUUUGUUAUGGUGACCCCAUGAUUUAAGAAAUCGUAAACGAAUACCUUGGGAGAGCUAAUGAGCUCCAUGAAAUGGCUGGAUUACAUUCAGGGAAAAGAUACUGGCUGAGUUUCUGAGAAUAUCAGUAAAAUUACUGAGCAAACAGAUUUCUCUGUACUCUGUGGUUUGGCCAAAUUUGGUGGUUAAAGAGAUUGUACAGGAGGAAGGAAAGUGGUUCCAUAGCCUGCUCUAUAAAUGAGGAAGAACUAAUGCAGCUCUCGGGUGCUUAUUUUCUGCUCCAUAAAAAUGCUUUGGGAUGUGCAAAGUCAUGAACGUGUUUGAUGCACAAACAGCAUCUCACUGAAAUGUGUAACAUGCAAAUCACUAGAAUUGCUCCAAGAAAUGAUCAAGACACAGUAAUAAUGGAAGACAUUAAUCAACUCAGAAUUGGCCAGAUGGAGACAAGAAUUAACUAAGGAAGGAAGAGGAUCGCACAUCACAAUUAACAUAUUUCUUUUAAUAGACAUGUUGAAUUUUGUGCCCUGCAAAUAGACACAAGGUUUUUUUCCCCCCAAAUAACCAUGGAAUAUUUAUAAAAGUUGGUUAUAUAUCGCCUAAAGGAAAACUUGAUUAUGUACUACAAAGCUGAAAUUGCCUAGGUCACAUUAUUUAACCAAAAAGUAUUAAAUCUAGAAACAGACUGCAAAUAAAAAAUUAAAAAUGAAAUUUAAGUACUAGGACAUUCUGAAAGAACUCUUUCAAACAGUUUUGAGUCAAAGAGCAAAUCAAUUAUUGUCAAAGUACAUUUAUGAAUGAAUUAGGAGUGAUAAUGAUGAGGGAAGCCUGGGUGGCUCAGUGGUUGAGCGCCUGCCUUCAGCUCAGGUGUGAUCCUGGAGUCCCAGGAUGGAGUCCCAUAUUGGGCUACCUGAAGGGAGCCCGCUUCUCCCUCUGGCUAUGUCUCUGCCUCUCUCGCUAUGUCUCUCAUGAAUAAAAAAAUCUUUAAAAAAAAGAAGUAAUGAUGAUAAAAUUCAUAUUUAAUAUAUGUUGUGAAUUUAAAGUCUUAGCUCUACAGUCCUUUACUAUUGGAGAAGAAAGAUGUUAUAGAAUUAACUAAGUGUUCAACUCAAGAAAUUACCAAAAAAUAAGCAAGAAAAAAAUCAAGAUUAAUCAUGAUAAAGAAAUGUGAUAAGGUAGAAAUAAAAUGUGUAGAUGUGAAAAUAGAGACAAGAUCGGAUUCUUUGACAAGACAAGCAGGAAGUAUGUUCAAGGGGAGGAAAAAAAUUAAAACCUUUGGAUUUGCAUUUGGAUUUUUAAAAAGAGAAUAUACUCACAGAGAUAAACUAAAACUUUUAAGACAAAUAACAUGUUUUUCCCUAUAGAAACAGUGUUCUUAGUAGUGACAAAUAAGUAAAUGUUUGUCAGUAGGGUAAAUAAAAUGUGGCAAGUGUGGCACACAAUACUGUGCUGCCAUAAAAAAGAAUGAGACGGGAUUUAAUGUCCUAAUCUGGAACAUUUGUAAGUGUGUAAAUGGAAUGCUUUAAUUUGUGUAAAAAAAGGUGGAUACACUUUGUCUCAGCUUCCAUAUGUAUUAGAGACUCUGGAAGAAUGGAUCUGAAAUCGAUGCACCGAGUGUAUGUUGGAUGUCCUGCAUGGUGAAGACUACUCAGAUGGAGAUGGAAGGAUGGGGAUCUUUAUCAUAUACACCUUUACACUUUUAGCUCUUCAAAGCUUCUGAAUUCACUACCGAUUCAGCAAAUUAAAUAAAUAAGAUAACACCAGGAGCCUAAUUUAGGGUAAUAAAUUUAGGAAUCCGGAUGAUGUGGUCCAUGUCUUUCCAAUGUAUUUAUAAGUUGCCAAAAUUGAUCAAAAAGGAGACUUCAAACCCAAACAGGCUGACAUCUCAACCUCAUCCAGUUAUCUAUCUUUUUGCCCUCUGCCUAGACAGUGUUGUGCAAGUUCUCUCUUGGAAGACUUUUCCAGAGGCUUCCCUUUAUCUUUACCCCAUGCCUCUGCUCUGGGCUGUGGUCACAGAAUGCCACAGGACAGCCCUCUGAUGAGGCUUCCUACCUCGGCUGCUCACCCUGGUCAGGCUUUGGUGGGACUGCUAAGACCACUAGCUGUAGACACCGAGAGAUGGGAGUUUUCCUACUGCCUCUGAGUUAAAGGUUACCUUUCUGAGCCCCCACUCUUCAUCUGGAAAAUGGGAAUAAUUAUAAUAGUACUUCCAUUACAUCCUGCUCUGGGAGUUGGAUGACAGAAAGAAGGGAACAUGUUUGUAAGAGAGCAUAUUGUGCACCCAAUAAACGUUAAAUUUAUUUAA